GACGAACGCUGGCGGCGUGCUUAACACAUGCAAGUCGAACGGAAAGGCCCUGCUUAUGUGGGUUGCACGAGUGGCGAACGGGUGAGUAACACGUGAGUAACCUGCCCUUGACUUUGGGAUAACUUCAGGAAACUGGGGCUAAUACCGGGUAGGAGCUCCUGCUGCAUGGUGGGGGUUGGAAAGUUUCGGCGGUUGGGGAUGGACUCGCGGCUUAUCAGCUUGUUGGUGGGGUAGUAGCAUACCAAGGCUUUGACGGGUAGCCGGCCUGAGAGGGUGACCGGGGUCAUGGGGACUGAGAGAGGGCGCAGAAGCGAACGGGAGGCAGCAGUGGGGAGCCUGGCAGAACGGGGGGGAGCCUGAUGCAGCAGCGCUGGGAGCGGGAAGACGGGCUACUGGGUGAAAACCGAUUUGGCCUGUGACGAAGCGUGAGUGACGGUAAUGGGUAAAGAAGCACCGGCUAACUACGUG
rnacentral:rRNA from 1 species